GACGAACGCUGGCGGCGUGCUUAACACAUGCAAGUGGUGCGACGAACCAGGCUUCGGCCUGGGGCAGAGCCGCGAACGGGUGAGUAACACGUGGGCAACCUGCCCUGUUGAUCGGGACAACCCGGGGAAACCCGGGCUAAUACCGAAUGUGGUGCCGGCUCAUGAGAGCCAUCACGAAAGGAAGCUUCGGCCUCCGCGACAGGAUGGGCCCGCGGCCCAUUAGCUUGGUGGUGGGGUAAUGGCCUACCAAGGCAACGAUGGGUAGCUGGUCUGAGCGGACGAUCAGCCACACUGGGACUGAGACACGGCCCAGACUCCUACGGGAGGCUGCAGUGGGGAAUCUUGCGCAAUGGGCGACAGCUUGACGCAGCAACGCCGCGUGGGGGAAGAAGGCUUUCGGGUCGUAAACCCCUUUCAGUUAGGACGAAGCUUUAUUGGUUAAUAACCAAUUGGAGUGACGGUACUUUCAGAAGAAGCCCCGGCUAACUACGUGCCAGCCGCCGCCGUAA
rnacentral:rRNA from 1 species